GAGUAGGCGUUGCUGGGGCUGGAGAAGGCAAAGUGCAGAGGAAGGAGGAGCCACUGCUAGUGGGUACGAGGUUUCUUCUUGGUACAAGGACUUCUACGUUCUGUCCUCCUGCAGCCAUCUAAAAUCAGCCAGAAAGGUUUAGGAUCCCAUUUCCUGUUCUUGCAUCGGCUGUCCAAGCUGCUGUUCCUCUCUCCGCAGUAAGAGGGUGUUUCUCUCCCUGUUCAAGAGGAGCACCAACACUUGAGGACAGUAUCAUCCCUAGACCUUGGCAAGAGAGACCACUGAGUGAGGCAUCCAUGGAACCCAAGGAAGAGGCCUACGAAGAACCUGCAGUCACCUUCUAGACCAUUCUCCCUCACCAAACUGUCCCCUCCAGAGAGCUGAGGACUGGAUCUUCCCAUGCUGACACCUCCAGUGGGAAAGAAAAUUCUAGAUUCAGCUCUGGGUGUCCAAGUCAUUAUGAAGGCAUAUUUGUCAAGGUGGAAGAAAAGGACAUAUUCUAUUUAGCAGUUUGCAAUGUCCAGCCACCUACUGAUCGUAUGUGAUGGGGGGUGAGGAGGAGAUACUUUGCAUGGCCCCCAGUGACAAAGAAGAGGCCCUUAGCUAUAGCUACUCUUGUAAAGAAGUAAUGCAUGACUCUGAUUUGCGGCUGCAGGAUAAAUCCGAACUAUUUCAGGGAGAUGUCAUGGAGAGCUCAUCUCUCAGCAUCAAAGUUGCCUCUCCUGACUUUUGAAUUUUAAGUGUUCUGUGUGGAAGAAAAAUGGAGACAACAAAUUUCUAUGCAUGGAUUCAAAGAAUCCUCGUAAUAUACAGACUACAUUCUCCCCAGCUUUUUAUCUCUAUAUAUUCUUUUUGUUGAGUUUCAACCACAUAGGGUUGAAAUUCACCUUCCCACAUUACAUUUUUCAUCAAUAGUUGAAGACCUAUGUAUGUAAAUAUCAGGAACUAUCAGAACUCCCUGCAACAGGAAACCUGACCCCCAACUCCCCCGAAAUGCAUCAUGAUAAACAGUCACUUGCCAAAAUAACAAAUCAGCUUCCUGGAACAUGCUUGCUCAAAACCAGGAGAGGAGCUUAGAGACGUCAGCUUGACUUCUGCCUCGUACGCAGGAAGGGUGACCUUCAAAGAUCAAACAUCGUCCCAAAUCUCCCUUCAUCUUGUAGUACUCCUGCUUGUCGUAGCUCCUGUUACCAUCAGGUACUGGGCCAACCAUCCGUCAUGUCAGAAGAGAGUUGGGGACAAUCCCUGGAUUAUUUCACCUUUGCCCUGCUGGUAUAGACAAUGUGUGUUAUGGCUGGGUGACUUGCUGACUUUUACUCUGAGCAACAGCUUUGUCAGAGUAAACUAAAACAGAGACUUCAGAGCAUAAUAAAAUAUGACAUUUUUUCUGUAUAGAACUAAAGACACGGGGGAGAGAGAACAACUUAAUUAAAAAGACAGUGCCCU
ensembl:lncRNA novel transcript